rnacentral:rRNA from 1 species
GCGGAGGAGCAUGUGGUUUAAUUCGAUGAUACGCGAGGACCUUACCUGGGCUCGAACGUAAGAUGACUGUAGGUGAAAGCUUACAUCUCUUCGGAGCAUUUUACGAGGUGCUGCAUGGUUGUCGUCAGCUCGUGCCGUGAGGUGUCGGGUUAAGUCCCAUAACGAGCGCAACCCCUACCUUUAGUUGCCAUCAGGUAAUGCUGGGGACUCUAAAGGAACUGCCUACGCAAGUAGUGAGGAAGGCGGGGAUGACGUCAAAUCAGCACGGCCCUUACGUCCAGGGCUACACACGUGCUACAAUGGCCGAUACAGAGGGCAGCUACCUGGUGACAGGAUGCAAAUCUCCAAAGUCGGUCUCAGUUCGGAUCGGAGUCUGCAACCCGACUCCGUGAAGUUGGAUUCGCUAGUAAUCGCGCAUCAGCCAUGGCGCGGUGAAUACGUUCCCGGGCCUU